rnacentral:rRNA from 1 species
UACGAAGGGGGCUAGCGUUGUUCGGAUUUACUGGGCGUAAAGCGCACGUAGGCGGAUUGAUCAGUCAGGGGUGAAAUCCUGGAGCUCAACUCCAGAACUGCCUUUGAUACUGAGGAUCUUGAGUACGGGAGAGGUGAGUGGAACUGCGAGUGUAGAGGUGAAAUUCGUAGAUAUUCGCAAGAACACCAGUGGCGAAGGCGGCCCACUGGCCCGUUACUGACGCUGAGGCACGAAAGCGUGGGGAGCAAACAGG